GAGAGUUUAGCUUAAUUAAAGUGCUCCAUUUGCAUUCGAGUGAUGCAAGGUAAAGUCUUGUAGUUCUUA
rnacentral:tRNA from 1 species